rnacentral:tRNA from 1 species
AUUUAAGUAGCUUAUAUUAGAGUAUGAUGUUGAAGUCAUCGAGGAAGUUUUUUAUUCUUAAAUA